rnacentral:tRNA from 1 species
GUCCCGGUGACGCAAUGGAUAGCGCGUUGGACUUCUAAUCUAAAGGUCGUGGGUUCGAAUCCUACCUGGGAUA